rnacentral:rRNA from 1 species
GAAGCUUCGGCAGAUCGGAAAUUAUCUUAGUGGCGGACGGGUGAGUAACGCGUGGGUAACCUGCCUCUGACCGGGGGAUAGCAGUUGGAAACGACUGAUAAUACCGCAUAAGCCCACAGGAUGGCAUCAUCCAGGGGGAAAAACUCCGGUGGUCAGAGAUGGACCCACGUCUGAUUAGCCAGUUGGUGAGGUAACGGCUCACCAAAGCGACGAUCAGUAGCCGGCCUGAGAGGGCGGACGGCCACAUUGGGACUGAGACACGGCCCAAACUCCUACGGGAGGCAGCAGUGGGGGAUAUUGCACAAUGGAGGGAACUCUGAUGCAGCGACGCCGCGUGAAGGAAGAAGUAUCUCGGUAUGUAAACUUCCAUCAGCAGGGAAGAUAGUGACGGUACCUGACUAAGAAGCCCCGGCUAACUACGUGCCAGCAGCCGCGGUAAUACGUAGGGGGCAAGCGUUAUCCGGAUUUACUGGGUGUAAAGGGAGCGUAGACGGACUGGCAAGUCUGAUGUGAAAGCCCGGGGCUCAACCGCGGGACUGCUUUGGAAACUGUCUGUCUGGAGUACUGGAGGGGUAAGCGGAAUUCCUAGUGUAGCGGUGAAAUGCGUAGAUAUUAGGAGGAACACCGGCGGCGAAGGCGGCUUACUGGACAGCAACUGACGUUGAGGCUCGAAAGCGUGGGUAGCAAACAGGAUUAGAUACCCUGGUAGUCCACGCUGUAAACGAUGAA